ACGGAGGGUCACCAGUGCAGACAGCAAAACUCCGACUCUCCCUGUUUUCGCUGCUUUCAGAUCGUUCCAUGCUGAUGCCCUGCUCAGUAGCAGAGUUGAACUGACCAUCAUCUGAACCUGGCAACCGGACACGCAAACACACACGCUCUUUUUUGAUAAUGAAAAUAAAAUUAUUUUGUUUCCUAAUA